rnacentral:rRNA from 1 species
UGGGGAAUAUUGCACAAUGGGCGCAAGCCUGAUGCAGCCAUGCCGCGUGUGUGAAGAAGGCCUUCGGGUUGUAAAGCACUUUCAGCGAGGAGGAAGGGUAGUGUGUUAAUAGCACAUUGCAUUGACGUUACUCGCAGAAGAAGCACCGGCUAACUCCGUGCCAGCAGCCGCGGUAAUACGGAGGGUGCAAGCGUUAAUCGGAAUUACUGGGCGUAAAGCGCACGCAGGCGGUUUGUUAAGUCAGAUGUGAAAUCCCCGCGCUUAACGUGGGAACUGCAUUUGAAACUGGCAAGCUAGAGUCUUGUAGAGGUGGGUAGAAUUCCAGGUGUAGCGGUGAAAUGCGUAGAGAUCUGGAGGAAUACCGGUGGCGAAGGCGGCCCCCUGGACAAAGACUGACGCUCAGGUGCGAAAGCGUGGGGAGCAAACA